rnacentral:rRNA from 1 species
GACCCUGCGACAGUCCAUGAGCUCCGCGAUCUCAUGGGGGCUAGUGCGCCAUCGGUUCUUUGCAUUGUGGAGACUCAAAUUGCAAAAAAAUGAGUGGAAGGUUUGGCGGCUUCUUUAGGUUUUCAAAACAGUUUUGCAGUUCCUAGCAGUGGACGUAGUGGUGGGCUUUGUAUUUUUUGGAAGGCAGAUGUGAACUUGGCAAUAAAAAAAUUCUCGCAGUAUCAUAUAGACUCGUGGGUUUCUGAACCAGGGUCUGAGCAAUGGCGCCUCACAUGUUUCUAUGGUGAAGCCAACAGGAACUUGAGAUAUAAAACAUGGGACACUAUGAAGAGGCUGAGGGGGGAGAGUACGUUACCCUGGCUUUGUAUAGGCGAUUUCAACGAGAUUCUCCGAUAG